UAUAUCUUAAUCCAAAUAAUAGAUGUCAUUUCAAAUUUUUUAUCCAUAGAAUAUAUUACAUCCAAAUUAAUGACUUCAUGCAACUAUAACAUUCAUACAAACUUUCAUUUAUUAAUUUAAUUAUUUAUCCAAAUUCAAUCUUCAUAUUUCUUCUAACCUUUUCUAUAAAAUUCAUCCAUAGCAACUAAGUAAUAGAUCUAUAAAACCAUUUAAGAAAAGAAUAGAAGAGAGUUGGCACUUCAAAAUCUAAUGCUAUACCUUCUUCCACAAAAUAACAUACCAUGUUUGUAAAUAUUAAUACAAAACUU
rnacentral:lncRNA from 1 species